rnacentral:rRNA from 1 species
UACGUAGGGCGCAAGCGUUGUCCGGAAUUAUUGGGCGUAAAGAGCUCGUAGGCGGCUUGUCGCGUCGGAUGUGAAAGCUCGGGGCUUAACCCCGGGUCUGCAUUCGAUACGGGCAGGCUAGAGUGUGGUAGGGGAGAUCGGAAUUCCUGGUGUAGCGGUGAAAUGCGCAGAUAUCAGGAGGAACACCAAUGGCGAAGGCAGGUCUCUGGGCCACAACUGACGCUGAGGAGCGAAAGCAUGGGGAGCGAACAGG